CCUGGGAUAGCUCAGUUGGUAGAGCAUGAGGCUCUUAAUUUCACGGUCGUGGGUUCAAGUCCUACUUAGGG